CUCUUUCCGUUUCGCGAUCCUCGGGACCUCCCAGGGCUAGGAGCUGCGCGCCCCACCCGGCCCGCGAGGGGAUGGCAACUACCCGGGGUCCGGAGGCGGGGCUGCGAGUGUCGGGGCGGGGGGCGCGGGCCGGGUCGAGCACCGCCCCGACGAGGGCCCAGGCCAGUCCGGCCCGCCCCGGGUUCCCUCCGUGCCUCAGGUCCCCUCCGUGCCCCGCGUCCUCCCGCGCAUUCCGGUCAUGCCUCAGCCGCGCCAAGGCCUGGGACACGGCCGGACAGACCGCGGGGCAGCCCUCGGAGAAGUGGGAAGAGGGGAGAAAACAGUGGCGAAAAGAAGGUCUCCUGGGAAGGAGCGCCCUGGGAAGCUGGACGCGGUGGGUGCUCUUGAGGGGCCUCAGGAGUGGACUUGGGGAAACCGCCCGCCCUGAAAACUGACUCAGCGGCGCGUUACUGAGGCCGUUCCUAGUUGGAAGAGAAUUAAUAGCACUUGUUUGAGAAUUACAAGUUAGUUCCAGAAAUGAAUCGAGUGACCUCACAGCCCGUAGGCAGGGGUGGGAGAGCCAGGGUGAGCCCCUCACCUCACCCCGCCCCCGCCCCGGCAGCGCUCUGGAAAGCCUCAAAGCCCAGCGCUGCGCGGAAAUGUUAGAGGCCCAAGGCAGGUGGCCUGUCUGGACUCAGACCCGACCCAGAUGUCCCCCCAGGUCCCUACCACUCAGUCCCACCUGCCUCGACUCAGUCCCGACCCAGAUGACCACCCCCCCCCCGCCCCCACCACGACCAACUUUUAUUCCGACUGCGCCAGUGACUUGCAGAUAGCAUAGCUUCAAAUUUCCUCACCUGGUCUGGGGCGGUGAACAGGUCAAGAUGGAGAGUGUCAAGAGAGACUUUUGCUUUGUCUAUGAUGUUUUUAUAUACACUUGCUAAUUAAAUGAACGCAUAUGUUUCCUGUGUAAUUUUGUAUAGGGGAAUAGGGGCCGUGGGAACUGGAAGUAAACAGCCAGUGUGCCAGCAGCUCUUGACUCUAGGUGGUGGGAAUAAGUGCCGUUGUAACCACAGUACCAGCCCAAACGGGGCUUACUCUGUUUGUAACAAUGUUGAGUUACCUUGCAGGUAUAACAGAGCCAAAAACUCUUAAGUCACAAAGCCCAGGCAUGCACCAUAGAAAAAGAUUUGAUCUCUAACAAACAUCCAGAACCAACUAUUCGUCUCCUUGGAACGAAGAAGACUGGGACAUGACUGGAACCCGAACAUUCGAACUCUCAGAAGGGAAGGGUCUCUUGGCCCAGAAGAUAGGGGCUAAAAUCCACCUCAACAUACCGUACCAUAAAUGGCCAAAUUUGAAGGCCUUCAAACAGAUCCUGCCCAGCCAACAUUUCUAAGUCCUUUCCUUUGCCCUCUGCUUCCUUAGAACUUGCCCCAGACCCCAAAUCAGGGAGGAAGAUUUGAACCUGCCUCCUGUCUCCUUGCUGGCUGGUCUUGCAAUAAAGUCUUUCUUUUCUCAAAGGCAGUACCAUGGUAUUGCUUCCGUGUACAUUGAGCAGUGAGCCUGAGGCAGGAAAAUAGGGUCAGGAGGCAGGGAACAUAAGGCCAAUUCACACUUCGGCUGUAACAGGAAAUAUCCACUCCAUAGGGCGUAUGCUGUAAGUGACUUUGUAACUUUACUUCAUCCUCUGCAUUUACGUAGAGGGUAAGUGAAGUAAACAAUGGAAUCAUCUAGGGGAUAUUUAAACUUCCAAAAAUUCUGUAACGGGGCCUUUGAGCCCCUAUGUUCGGGCCGCUCCCACACUGUGGAAUGUAAUUUCGUUUUCAAUAAAUCCCUUCAUUCCUUCCUUGCUUUGUUUGUGCGUUUUGUCCAAUUCUUUGUUCAAGAUGCCAAGAACCUGGACAUCCUCCACCGGUGACAAGCCCAUUUGCUUAAUAAGAUUAUUAUUUUCUUCUCAGUAUUUUUCUGUUACUUAUUUUCUGAAAGUGCCAGGAAGAGGAGGGCAGGCAGGACCACCCCAAAACAGGCCACCUGUGGUAUCAUGGUGACCUCUAACCCCAGCCCCCAAGAAUAUGAAAGUGAUGACGACUCUUAUGAAGUGUUGGAUUUAACUGAGUAUGCAAGAAGACAUCAGCGGUGGAAUUGAGUGUUUGGCCCCAGUUGGAGACCUAUGGUGUUACAGAGAAAUACUCAGUAGCUACCCAGAUUGGAAUGUGUGGCGUGACAGGCUGGUAUGCAGGAUUUUUGCUCCCAAAAGUUGGGAAGGUUGCAGCAACUGCAGUGACUUCCAGAUUGACUGGAAGAGAAUUGAAAGAGACGUACAUAAAGCAAAAAGACAUACUAAGGCCCGGGCGUGGUGGCUCAUGUCUGUAAUCCCAGCACUUUGGGAGGCCGAGGCGUGUGGAUCACCAAGUCAGGAGAUCGAGACCAUCCUGGCCAGCAUGGUGAAACUCCAUCUCUACUGAAACUACAAAAAUUAGCUGGGCGUGGUGGUGGGCGCCUGUAAUCCCAGCUACUUGGGAGGCUGAGGCAGGCGAAUCGCUUGAACCCAGGAGGCAGAAGUUGCAAUGAGCCGAGAUCACGCCACUGCAAUCCAGCCUGAUGACAGAGCAAGACUGCAUCUCAAAAAAGAAAAAAAAAAAAAAAGACAGACUAAGAAAUGAGCAAAUAAAGCAGCACCUGAAAUCAACAAUACAGUUGAAGAAGCAACUGACUUUAUCAAACAGAACAUUGUGAUAUCCACUGAAUUUGUGGGAGGCUUUUUGCUAAGACUUGCAUUUUAAAGACAUGAAUGGUCUACCAUAGUAGACAGCUAUGAGAAGUGGCGGCAACACAGUGUCCUCUCUCAACAGUACAUGCUGCCGGAUCUCAGAAAAACAACUAGCUGGACAAUACUGAACUCACAACUUAGCAUUUUGCCAUCUGGAGCCUGGCAAACUGGUAUUUGCUGUAAAACAACUUAUGUGGUAUGUGAACAGUAGUAGUUCUGAGCAAAACGUGGCUUUUAUCAUUUAAAAAAAAAUGCUUCUCUUUAGAAUUAGCUUAUAAAAUAUCACCAUUGGUUGUAGAUAUGGAGAGAAAAGAAACUGCUACAUUUAUUGCCUGGUGAAAUAUUAAUCCCUUUUCAUUUAAAUAAGAUGUUCUGGCUUGGCGCGGUGGCUCACACCUGUAAUCCCAACACUUUGGGAGGCCAAGGAGGGAGAAUCACCUGAGGUCAGGAGUUCAAAAUCAGCCUGGCCAACAUGGUGAAACCCUGUCUCUACUAAAAAUACAAAACAAUGAGCUGAGCGUGGUGGAGGGUGCCUGUAAUCCCAGCUACUCAGGAGGCUAAGGCACAAGAAUCACUUGAACCCAGGAGUCAGAGGUUGCAAUGAGCUGAGGUUGCGCCACUGCACUCCAGCCUGGGUGACAGAGUGAGACGCUGUCUCAAUAAAUAAAUAAGAUGUUCUUCAUUGUGGUUUACAGUAUAAUGACAAUAAUUUUAAAAUCUGUAUUAUAGCUUCAAUAUUAGGACUGACUUUUUUUUAAAGAUAUGUCUGCAAUAAAUUGAAGAACUGCAAUGCCCUUUUGUGGAAAGCUUUAGAAAUGAUAUAAUUAUUAAAGAUAUUAAAUAGACAAAAAAUAAUUUUCUAAUAAUGAUGAUAAUAAAAGAAUCUCUGAAGUGAGUAUUAGAACUUCUGACUACUUCUAACUAUUGGUCCUACCCAGCCACUGAUGAACUCCAAUCAUAUAGUCUCAAACUGCUCACUUGAUGUUUCUUUGCCUCCAUUUGCCUUUCCGUGAAAUGGGAAUUUAAAACAAAAAUUAAAAAGCCCACGACUGUUGUGAGGACAAAUAAAAUGGUACAUGGCUGAAAGUGUGCAGUAAACACCUUUGAGGACUUGUGUUAUAUAAAUGUCAGUAACAGAUACAGAGGAGACGGAGUGGUUUCGGGUUGUAAAUCCAGCUGAUGAGCUAGUUCAUUGCGGGAGGCUACAUAAUAGAAUGUGCAAAUGGAGAACAAAGAGGAGCUCUCUGGGUCACCUGCCCAUCUUCCAAGCCUGGUUUAGAAUUACAAAGGUGUAGCCAAGGAGGAGUCCUGUUGUAGGUAAGAGCUUUGGAAACCAGAUACUUCAAUCCGAUUAAUAAGAG
rnacentral:lncRNA from 1 species